rnacentral:rRNA from 1 species
GGAGUUUGGUCCGUGUCUCAGUACCAAUGUGGGGGACCUUCCUCUCAGAACCCCUACUGAUCGUCGGCUCGGUGGGCCGUUACCCCGCCGACUGCCUAAUCAGACGCAUCCCCAUCCCUUACCGAUGAAUCUUUGCUCCUCGUUAGAUGCCCGCAAAGGAGAACAUAGGGCAUUAAUCCGACUUUCGCCGGGCUAUUCCCUAGUAAGGGGAAGGUUGGAUACGCGUUACUCACCCGUGCGCCGGUCGCCAUCAAAGUCAGCAAGCUGACUCCAUGAUGCCCCUCGACUUGCAUGUGUUAAGCCUGUAGCUAGCGUUCAUC